CGGCCCAGACUCCUACGGGAGGCAGCAGUGGGGAAUAUUGCACAAUGGGCGCAAGCCUGAUGCAGCCAUGCCGCGUGUGUGAAGAAGGCCUUCGGGUUGUAAAGCACUUUCAGUAAGGAGGAAAGGUUGGAUGUUAAUAGCAUUCAGCUGUGACGUUACUUACAGAAGAAGCACCGGCUAACUCCGUGCCAGCAGCCGCGGUAAUACGGAGGGUGCGAGCGUUAAUCGGAAUUACUGGGCGUAAAGCGUACGCAGGCGGUUUGUUAAGCGAGAUGUGAAAGCCCCGGGCUCAACCUGGGAACUGCAUUUCGAACUGGCAAACUAGAGUGUGAUAGAGGGUGGUAGAAUUUCAGGUGUAGCGGUGAAAUGCGUAGAGAUCUGAAGGAAUACCGAUGGCGAAGGCAGCCACCUGGGUCAACACUGACGCUCAUGUACGAAAGCGUGGGGAGCAAACAGGAUUAGAUACCCUGGUAGUCCACGCCGUAAACGAUGUCUACUAGAAGCUCGGUUCCUCGGAACUGUUUUUCAAAGCUAACGCAUUAAGUAGACCGCCUGGGGAGUACGGCCGCAAGGUUAAAACUCAAAUGAAUUGACGGGGGCCCGCACAAGCGGUGGAGCAUGUGGUUUAAUUCGAUGCAACGCGAAGAACCUUACCUACACUUGACAUACAGAGAACUUACCAGAGAUGGUUUGGUGCCUUCGGGAACUCUGAU
rnacentral:rRNA from 1 species